rnacentral:rRNA from 1 species
CUCAUUACAACAGCUAUAAUUUACUUGAAUUUGACAACCCUACUUGGAUACCGGUGGUAAUUCUAGCGCUAAUACAUGCACCAAAACUCCGACCGCGAGGGAAGAGCGCAUUUAUUAGAACAAAACCACACGGCUUCGGCCGUCCAAUGUUGACUCAGAAUAACUAAGCUGAUCGCAUGGUCUUGCACCGGCGACGUUUCUUUCAAGUACCUGCCUUAUCAACUUUCGAUGGUAGUGUAUCUGACUACCAUGGUGAUGACGGGUAACGGAGGAUAAGGGUUCGACUCCGGAGAAGGGGCCUGAGAAAUGGCCACUACGUCUAAGGAUGGCAGCAGGCGCGCAAAUUACCCACUCUCAGUACGAGGAGGUAGUGACGAGAAAUAACAAGACCGUUCUCACAAGAGGCCGGUCAUUGGAAUGGGUACAAUUUGAACCCUUUAACGAGUAUCUAUGAGAGGGCAAGUCUGGUGCCAGCAGCCGCGGUAAUUCCAGCU